GAUGAAGAACGCAGCGAAAUGCGAUAAGUAAUGUGAAUUGCAGAAUUCAGUGAAUCAUCGAAUCUUUGAACGCACAUUGCGCCCAUUAGCAUUCUAGUGGGCAUGCCUGUUCGAGCGCCAUUUCAACCCUUAAGCCCUGUUGCUUAGCGUUGGGAGCCUACAGUACUGUAGCUCCCCAAAGUUAGUGGCGGAGUCGGUUUCACACUCUAGACGUAGUAAUUUUUUCUCGUCUGUAGUUGAGCCGGUCCCCUGCCGUAAAACACCCAAUUUAUCAAGGUUGACCUCGGAUCAGGUAGGAAUACCCGCUGAACUUAAGCAUAUCAAUAAGCGGAGGA
rnacentral:misc_RNA from 1 species